rnacentral:rRNA from 1 species
AUACGUAGGGAGCGAGCGUUGUCCGGAAUUACUGGGCGUAAAGGGCGCGUAGGCGGCGCUUCAAGUCGUCUGUCAAAUGGGAGGGCUUAACCCUUUUUCGCAGACGAAACUGGAGAGCUUGAGAAGCAGAGAGGCAAACAGAAUUCCUGGUGUAGCGGUGAAAUGCGUAGAUAUCAGGAAGAAUACCAGUGGCGAAGGCGGUUUGCUGGCUGCAUACUGACGCUGAAGCGCGAAAGCCAGGGGAGCAAACGGGAUUAGAUACCCCGGUAGUCCUGGCAGUAAACGAUGUAUGCCGGGUGUGAGACUAGCGAUAGUUUCGUGCCGAAGUUAACGCGAUAAGCAUACCGCCUGGGGAGUACGGUCGCAAGAUUGAAACUCAAAUGAAUUGGCGGGG